rnacentral:rRNA from 1 species
GAUGAACGCUGGCGGCGUGCUUAACACAUGCAAGUCGAACGAAACACUUUAUUUGUUUUCUUUCGGGACUGAGUAUUUUGUGACUGAGUGGCGGACGGGUGAGUAACGCGUGGGUAACCUGCCUUGUACAGGGGGAUAACAGUUGGAAACGGCUGCUAAUACUGCAUAAGCGCACGGCAUCGCAUGAUGCUGUGUGAAAAGCUCCGGUGGUAUAAGAUGGACCCGCGUUGGAUUAGCUAGUGGGUGAGGUAACGGCACACCAAGGCGAGGAUCCAUAGCCGAAGGGAGAGGGGGACCGGCCAGAUUGGGACUGAGACACGGCCCAAACGCGUACGAGAGGCAGCAGAGGGUAAUAUAGCAGAAUGGGCGAAAGCCUGAUGCAGCGACGCCGCGUGAGCGGAGAAGUAUUUCGGUAUGUAAAGCGCUAUCAGCAGAGAAGAUAAUGACGGUACCUGACGAAGAAGCACCGGCUAAAUACGUG